GGACGCUUAGCUCAGCUGGAUAGAGCGCCGCCCUCCGGAGGCGGAGGUCAGAGGUUCGAAUCCUCUAGCGUCUGCCA
rnacentral:tRNA from 2 species